CCUACGGGUGGCAGCAGUAGGGAAUUUUGCGCAAUGGGCGAAACCCUGACGCAGCGACGCCGCGUGAUUGAUUAAGUCCUUCGUGGUGUAAAGCUCUAUCAGUAGGGACGAAACUUACGGUUCCCCACAAAGGAACCACCGGCUAACUCCGUGCCAGCAGCCGCGGUAAUACGGAGGGGGCAACCGUUUUCCGGAUUCAUUGGGGGUAAGGAGUUCGUAGGUGGCAUAGUAAGUCUGGAGUUAAAUGCAGAAGCUAAACUUCCGUUCUGCAUUGGAAACUGGUCAGCUUGAGUGCGGGAGAGGUAAGGGGAAGUCCUGGUGUAGCGGUGAAAUGCGUAGAUAUUAGGAGGAACACCAGUGGCGAAAGCGGCUUACUGGACUGUAACUGACGUUGAGGAUCGAAAGCGUGGGGAGCAAACGGGAUUAGAUACCCCGGUAGUC
rnacentral:rRNA from 1 species